rnacentral:rRNA from 1 species
GACGAACGCUGGCGGCGUGCUUAACACAUGCAAGUCGAACGGAAAGGCCCUGCUUUUGUGGGGUGCUCGAGUGGCGAACGGGUGAGUAACACGUGAGUAACCUGCCCUUGACUUUGGGAUAACUUCAGGAAACUGGGGCUAAUACCGGAUAGGAGCUCCUGCUGCAUGGGGGGGGUUGGAAAGUUUCGGCGGUUGGGGAUGGACUCGCGGCUUAUCAGCUUGUUGGUGGGGUAGUGGCUUACCACGGCUUUGACGGGUAGCGGGCCUGAGAGGGUGACAGGCCAUAUUGGGAUUGAGGUUCUGCCCAUACUCCUACUGGAGGCAGCGGUCCGAGUUAUUUCACUAGGGGCGUAAGCCUGAUUCAUCAACGCCGCGUUCGGGAUGACGUCCUUCGGGUUAUUAACCGCGUUCGCCUGUGACGAAGCGUGAGUGACGGUAUUGGGUAAAGAAGCACCGGCUAACUACGUG